GAAGGAGGGCAGACCAGGAGCUUCUCUGAGGAAAGUAUCAUCUCAGUUGGGAAAUCUUCAGGAAAGGAACAUGCUGGAGCGAGAGACUAGAUUGAGAAUCAUGGACCUGUGCAACCUCCAGCCAGGUGCUUGACAGUAUCUAUCUGUGAAUUUGAAGCUGCAGCUUGAAGUGUAAAAAAAUUCAAACUUCAAAGUAUUUGAGUAGCUUUCUCGAUGCCCUCUACACUGAGAAUCCAUGGUGGUGCUACUAGCAAGAACCUCCCUGUAUUCCUGGCAAAGAUUAAGAACCAACAGGAUGAUAGCAGGAGAGAAGUGCUGCAGGAUGCUAGAUCUGAGCCAGAUGUCUAAGCUAACAGAUUAUCAAUAUCUUGGGAUUGAACUUGGGUCCUUGUGCUUGCGAGACAGAGGGUGGAACCACUGAGCUAAAUCCCCGGCCCAGCAUUGGUCCUUAUAACAAGCAGGCACAGAAGACGGCAUGCUGGAGAUGGAAACCAAGAUCUUCACCAUACUAAGCAAGGGUGCUCCAUUGUUUUCUCUAAGAAACACUCUCACUGUAUUGCCCAAGCUGGUAUUGAACUCACGGUGCUUUCUUCUCAGCCUCUGGUGGAAUUGGGGCCACAGUCACACUCCACCAUCCCCAGCCUUGUCUUGUCCAGAGGAUGUAGAGACAGAGAUGAACAAUGUCAC
rnacentral:lncRNA from 1 species